CAGCAGCCGCGGUAACACCAGCAGCCCAAGUGGUGGUCGCGAUUAUUGGGCCUAAAGCGCUCGUAGCCGGGCCGGUAAGUCCCUUGUGAAAUCGGACGGCCUAACCGUUCGGCGUGCAAGGGAUACUGUCGGUCUUGAGGCCGGGAGACGUCCGAGGUACUCCGGGGGUAGCGGUGAAAUGUUCUGAUCCUCGGGGGACCACCGGUGGCGAAGGCGUUCGACGAGAACGGGCCUGACGGUGAGGGGCGAAGGCUAGGGGAGCAAACGGGAUUAGAUACCCGCGUAGUCCCUGUCUCUUAUA
rnacentral:rRNA from 1 species